CCUACGGGUGGCAGCAGUGAGGAAUAUUGGUCAAUGGCCGGAAGGCUGAACCAGCCAUGCCGCGUGAAGGUCAGUGCCCUAUGGGCGUUAAACUUCCUUUGUGCGGGAGCAAUAAUGGUCACGUGUGGCCAGACGAGAGUACCGUACGAAUAAGCAUCGGCUAACACCGUGCCAGCAGCCGCGGUAAAACGGGGGAUGUAAGCGUUAUCCGGAUUUAUGGGGUUUAAAGGGUGCGUAGGCGGGGAGGUAAAUCAGCGGGGAAAUGCCCCCGCGCAACGGGGUGAAGUGCCAUUGAUACUGCCUUGCUGGAGUGCGGAUGCGGUAGGAGGAAUGUGUGGUGUAGCGGUGAAAUGCAUAGAUAUCACGCAGAACUCCGAUUGCGAAGGCAGCAUACCGGCGCCCGACUGACGCUGAAGCACGAAAGCGUGGGUAUCGAACAGGAUUAGAUACCCGUGUAGUC
rnacentral:rRNA from 1 species